CACACAGUAAACGAUGAAUACUCGCUGUUUGCGAUAUACAGUAAGCGGCCAAGCGAAAGCAUUAAGUAUUCCACCUGGGAGUACGCCGGCAACGGUGAAACUCAAAGGAAUUGACGGGGG
rnacentral:rRNA from 1 species